ACCAACUUAAGAGAAGAGCCAUCUGCUGUGAGAACUGCCGGUGUCAAUGAGGACUAAAGAUCAUGAGGCUGCUUUGGUUCACUCUUUUGUUUUCUUAGGGAGUCUUUGAACAGCUUGUGUUCUCAUUCUCCACCUCUUUCCACCUUCUCGAGCCUUCUCAGAUCCAGCCCGUGGUGUGCCAAAGAAACCUCUUCUGCUAGGAGUCUCCCUGAGAAAGUUGAGACAAACAGCUCUCUGCUGAUGCAGAGGUGACAGCCUUCCAUCUGCCUCUGGACACCAGGUCAUUUCUAUUUUUCUGGAGUGGACUAACUGAUCCCUGUCCAGAAAACAGCCCUUCAGCAACUUGCCAACAUGUGGAGCAGAGUUGCCUGUCCAAAGGAGCCCUGCCAUCUGUGGCUGAUCACACCAGAAGAGUGGAAGGUCCUGUGGCUGCGUAAGUUUGAGAGACAGGAGGUAUGACCAUUCAUUAUUUUCUGGCAGACUUCAUAAAGAUUAUAUAAUACAUUAAUCCCUUGUUUGAAUCUCCAGGCAGGUAACAUAGUAGGCAGACCUCCCAGCCAUUCCCACUGAACAGUCAGAACUGGGGAUCUGGGAAAGCUCAUCCACAGCUUCAUUCCCCAAUGUGGUAGCCACUAGUCACAGGUGGCACCUGAAAUGUGACUAGUCGG